rnacentral:rRNA from 1 species
GAUGAACGCUAGCGGCAGGCCUAAUACAUGCAAGUCGAGGGGUAUGGGAAGCUUGCUUCCUUGAGACCGGCGCACGGGUGCGUAACGCGUAUGCAACCUACCCUUUUCUGGGGGAUAGCCCGGAGAAAUCCGGAUUAAUACCGCAUAAGACCACACGAUGGCAUCAUCGAGGGGUCAAACAUUUAUGGGAGAAGGAUGGGCAUGCGUGCCAUUAGCUAGUUGGCGGGGUAACGGCCCACCAAGGCGACGAUGGCUAGGGGAUCUGAGAGGGUGGCCCCCCACACUGGUACUGAGACACGGACCAGACUCCUACGGGAGGCAGCAGUAAGGAAUAUUGGUCAAUGGGCGCAAGCCUGAACCAGCCAUGCCGCGUGCAGGAAGACGACCCUCCGGGUUGUAAACUGCUUUUGUACGGGAAUAAACCUCUCUACGUGUAGGGAGCUGAAUGUACCGUAAGAAUAAGGAUCGGCUAACUACGUGCCAGCAGCCGCAGUAACAC